rnacentral:ncRNA from 1 species
GGGAAGAGCCUGCAAGAUUUAGCAUGAGACAUAGUGGAAGCCACUGGAAAUUGGCGCCAUAGUGGGUGAUAGCCCCGUACACGAAAUGUCUCGUGUGGAACUGAGCUUGCGACAAGUAGGGCGGGACACGCGAAAUCCUGUCUGAAGAUGGGGGGACCAUCCUCCAAGGCUAAAUACUCGAUAUCGACCGAUAGUGAACCAGUACCGUGAGGGAAAGGCGAAAAGAACCCCGGAAGGGGAGUGAAAUAGAUCCUGAAACCGUGUGCAUACAAACAGUAGGAGCGGACUUGAUCCGUGACUGCGUACCUUUUGUAUAAUGGGUCAGCGACUUACAUUCAGUGGCAAGGUUAACCGUAUAGGGUAGCCGUAGAGAAAUCGAGUCCGAAUAGGGCGUUCAGUCGCUGGGUGUAGACCCGAAACCAAGUGAUCUACUCAUGGCCAGGAUGAAGGUGCGGUAACACGCACUGGAAGG